rnacentral:lncRNA from 1 species
CUGACGCAGCAUCUUUCCUUUGGAGCCACAGUAAAAAUACAGUCUUCUGUCUGAUCCAUGGAAUGAAAACAACUCAAAGGCAAGAGGAAGUAUACACAGCUCAGGGCACACCCAGGGGCCUGGGCUCCCUGUUCUUCCCAGCUCAGGCACUAGUUUAGCUGCUUCACAAUGGGUUUGGCAGUUGAAGCACCAUGGCCAACAGGGUCCAGGGACAGGGAGAAACAGGACCGACAUAGUGAGAAACAGGACUGAGAUAGGGAGAAACAGAACCGGGACACUGAGGGGCAUGAGUAUCUGGAGCUGAUCUUAGAUGAGUCUCCCCCAACUCUCUUUUCGGACUCAGCCCGCCUGCACCCAGGUGAUUAAAAGCUUCAUUGCUCACACAAAGCCUGUUUGGUGGUCUCUUCACACGGACGCGAGUGAAGUUUCGUGCCGUGACUCGGAUCAGGGGACCUCCCUUGGGAGAUCAAUCCCCUGUCCUCCUGCUUUUUGCUCCAUGAGAAAGAUCCACCUACGACCUCGGGUCCUCAGACCGACCAGCCCAAGGAACAUCUCAGCAAUUUUAAAUCGGCCUUUUUGAUAUUUCAUUAACACACAUGAAAAUCCUUCUGAAUGAUGUUCCUGUGCUUUGUAAAAACGCAUCUAGCAUCCCACAGGUGAUAUAGACAGGAGACAGGGAGAUACUGAGUAGAAGAGGGUGGUUUCCUGGCAAGAACCCCACCCUCAAGCCUGAAGAACCUUGGCCCUAAAUGAGGACAGGCAUUCCUGUUUUUGCACUCAAGAAGUUGCCUUUCGGCCUGCUACGUUCCCUAUCCUGCACCCAUAUAAACCUCAAACCCCAGGCUCCAGGAGCAGACCAGCAGAUGAAGAGAAGCAGAGGGACGGCAGAAGGACACAGCAGGGAGACAGGAAGAGGAACGUUCAGCUGGGGGUGGUUGGAAAGGAGUUUGGCAGCUGGACAGCCCAACUCCAGGGGAAGAUCAUCUUCCCACUCCAUCCCCCACUUCCGCUUUCCCAUCCAUCCCGCCAAGAGCCACCUCCACCACUCGACGAAACCCUGCGUUGAUCCUUCAAGCCCGUGUGUGACCCGAUACUCCCGGGAUGCUGGAUAAGAACUCGGGAUACAGAAAGAUUUCACACUGGCCCUCUGACCUUGCAAAAAGGCAGAGGGUCCAUAGAGCUGGUUAACACUUAAAAUUUUAAAUUUAUUUAUUUGCAGCCAUACCCUGUGUUCUUUUGUUUUCCCUGGCUACUUCCCGCAUAGCCCAGAGGCAGGUGUUACAAUCCCAGUGGCCUGAUCCUCUUGUAAGAACACCACCAGCACACCAGGGCAUGACUGCCUAGGCUGCUGCCAGAUGGGGAGAUCUUGAAUGGAAAUAGUCACACAUUGAAAUGGUGCCAAGUAGCAGGCAGUCUUGCAAAACCAACAUGGCUUUGGAGACACAAUACCUCUGAUGAGUGAGAGGCGUGGUGGUAUUUGUGGAAACCCAGCUGUUGCAGACGGUGGCAUUAACUUGCCCAGCUUUGGCGACAGUUGUCUGAGUUUGGGAUCACUGAACCUUAAUAUAGAAUUUUUUCUGGCCCUAGUAUUAUCUGCGGGUAAACCGUAGCCUUGGGUCUCAGCUGCAGCUGUAUACAAUAUUUCUAAAGACAGACUUUUCCAGUUCGACUAGCGAGAAUGUAUUAAAUCACAUGGCCAUGUGUUCACUUCUAAACUGGAAAUUCAACUUUAGUUGGGAACUGGCCUAGCAGGAGAACAAAGGCCAUAUAAAAGUUUCAAGGAAGAGGAAAUUGUUCUCUUACAUGACUGUGGACCUACUAAAUGAAGCAAUAUUGCAAGAUUCAGCUAGGAGGUUGAGUGAAAACAGAAGCCUUGGGCUGCCUUCUGGCCACUUUGAACAAAGAGACAUAAAGCAUGUUUAGGAGGAAGGAGUGUGGAUUGAGCUUUGAUCUUCUGGACACUGUUAAACCCACUCUUACAUCCAAACAUAAGAAGGGCUGAUUAUCUGUUAACUUUCUCUAGUUUCCUUCCUCGUUCCAUCUUCUCAGUGGGAAAAUGAGUGGGUUUAUUCUCAACUCCCUUUCAGCCUCAUGACUUUACAAAUGAUUUAUUGGAUGCCUGUCCUUGUGCCCAGCCAUGUACCAGGAAGACUGAGUGAUAUAAAGGACUUCUAUUUUUGAGAAGUUGAACAAUGAAAUAUGCACUCACUGUACAGCACCAGUAAUAAAAGUGAGGGAGAGAGGGGGAGGCUCACUUA